GAUGAACGCUGACAGAAUGCUUAACACAUGCAAGUCGAUUCAAUUUACCUUCGGGUAUUGAGGAUGGCGGACGGGUGAGUAACGCGUAAGGAACUUGCCUCUUGGUCUGGGACAACUGUUGGAAACGACAGCUAAUACCGGAUAUUAUGAGAUUCUCGCAUGGGAAACUUAUGAAAGCUAUAUGCGCCAAGAGAGAGCCUUGCGUUCCAUUAGCUAGUUGGUGGGGUAACGGCCCACCAAGGCGACGAUGGAUAGCCGGCCUGAGAGGGUGAACGGCCACAAGGGGACUGAGACACGGCCCUUACUCCUACGGGAGGCAGCAGUGGGGAAUAUUGGACAAUGGACCAAAAGUCUGAUCCAGCAAUUCUGUGUGCACGAUGAAGGUCUUCGGAUUGUAAAGUGCUUUCAGUUGGGAAGAAGCAAGUGACGGUACCAACAGAAGAAGCGACGGCUAAAUACGUGCCAGCAGCCGCGGUAAUACGUAUGUCGCAAGCGUUAUCCGGAUUUAUUGGGCGUAAAGCGCGUCUAGGCGGAAAAAUAAGUCUGAUGUUAAAAUGCGGGGCUCAACUCCGUAUUGCGUUGGAAACUGUUUUUCUAGAGUACUGGAGAGGUGGGCGGAACUACAAGUGUAGAGGUGAAAUUCGUANAUAUUUGUAGGAAUGCCGAUGGAGAA
rnacentral:rRNA from 1 species